AACGAACGCUGGCGGCAUGCCUAACACAUGCAAGUCGAACGAGACCUUCGGGUCUAGUGGCGCACGGGUGCGUAACGCGUGGGAACCUGCCCUUAGGUUCGGAAUAACUCCCCGAAAGGGGUGCUAAUACCGGAUAAUGUCUUCGGACCAAAGAUUUAUCGCCUUUGGAUGGGCCCGCGUUGGAUUAGCUAGUUGGUAGGGUAAAAGCCUACCAAGGCGACGAUCCAUAGCUGGUCUGAGAGGAUGAUCAGACACACUGGGACUGAGACACGGCACAGACUACUACGGGAGGCAGCAGUGGGGAAUAUUGGACAAUGGGCGAAAGCCUGAUCCAGCAAUGCCGCGUGAGUGAUGAAGGCAUUAGGGUUGUAAAGCUCUUUUACCCGGGAUGAUAAUGACAGUACCGGGAGAAUAAGCUCCGGCUAACUACGUG
rnacentral:rRNA from 1 species